rnacentral:tRNA from 1 species
AUUCACUUAGUAUAAAGCUAUUAUUUUAGACUUCCAAUCUGAGGGUCCACUAAUAGGUGGAGUGAAUA